GUYUUUUYGUUAAAAAUUUAAAGUCGGGCCUGCCCACUGAAAAUUUAAAUGGCCGUGGUAUUUUGACCGUGCUAAGGUAGCAUAAUCAUUAGUUUUUUAAUUGAAAGCUGGAAUGAAGGGUUUGAUAAAAAAAUGACUGUCUCUAUUUAAUUUUAUUAAAAUUUUAUUUUUAAGUUCAAAAGCUUAAUUUUAAUUAAAAGACGAGAAGACCCUAUAGAGUUUAAUAAUAAAAAUUAAUUUUUAUUUUAGAAUUAAUUUAUUUAUUUAUUUAUAUUAUUUAAUUGGGGUGAUUGAAAAAUUUAGUUAACUUUUUUUAUAUUAAAACAUUAAUUUAUGAAUAUUUGAUCCAAUUUUUUGAUUAUAAGAUAAAAUUACCUUAGGGAUAACAGCGUAAUUUUUUUAGAAAGUUCAAAUUAAAAAAAAAGAUUGCGACCUCGAUGUUGGAUUAAAAUUAAGUUUUGGUGUAGAAGCUAAAAAUUUAAGUCUGUUCGACUUUUAAAAUUUUACA
rnacentral:rRNA from 1 species